ensembl:lncRNA
CAAAUGAUAAGAUCAAUACAGAGAUUGUCAGUGAUAGCAGCUGUGCAUGGUGACGAGUGCCAGCCAGGGCUUGACAGGCCCAUCAUGGGACAAGCGGCGUGUGACUUUCUGACAUGGUGUACAUGCAGGGAAUGAAGAGGAGGAAAGUCUCCUCCCAGGGAUUUUACGCUGCCUGACUGAAGUCUGGAAAUGACAGUGAUUGCAGCUGGAGUGAGAGGUCUCAGACAGGGGUCCACUGCCCUACACCAUUCAUGUGUCAGGAGGAAAGAACCUGCCUUUGAUUCCUGCUUUUCCAAAGCAGUGACUGGGGAUCACUGGAAAGCCCAGAGACUUGCAGUUGCACAUGGCCAGGGCAGACAUCAAUCACAAUUGAACUCUACACAGAACCAAUAUGAAAACUGGAUCUAUCAAGCAACUACACCUGUGAGUGAUGAUUUUCAAG